UUUGCAGCCUUACGAGUAUAGUUAUGGACUUUAUGACGGAGCUUUGGAUUGAACACUUAGAAAAUAGGUAUGAAGCUGAAGCGAGUAGGAGGUGAUUCUUGCUUCAAGUUAAUGUUCAUCGAAGUCUUUGGAGAUAGUUGCUUGGAUGUUUCGCAAGAUUCAUACUGGUCUAUCUUUUAUUUUUGCAUAUCUUUACUUUUUUUAAAAAUAAUUAUAAUGUUUUCGGAUCUUAGUCAUGCUAUUCUGAAAGUUUCGUACUCAUAUCACCAUAUUUUGGAGCUAUAACUAUUUUCAUGUUUUUGUUA